AAUGGAAUUUCCGAAAACCAUUAAAAGAGUAGGAA
rnacentral:ncRNA from 1 species